CCCCCUCCACAAACCCCCACCAUCCACCCGGCUCACCGUGCCUGCCCUCCUCCCGCUUCACCGCCCGCCACUUCUGACCAGCCUGCUCCACCUCCCUGCCCCCUCCCCACCACCAGCGCCUCUGGAGAUCAGAAACUCUUGGCCCACCGACCCAAUCCAGCCGAAGCCAUGCUUGGUUUGACCCCAUAGUAUCUUUUGUUUUUAACUAAAAUGAAUUCCCAUCAUUUAAAAAUUGGGGAUUUUCGCAUAAAAAUCCACAUUUCCAGCUUAGUUUGGAAAAUGGAAGUCUCAGGCAGAAGGCUCCCCCCUGCCUUGCUGCUUGGCGGCAGUCUUGAGGGAACACUGACCUGCAGUUCGCCCCAGUCCCCACCAGGCCCACCUGCCUGGCCCUGGAGGCGUGUUCCCACUCCUGCUCAGAGCCUUUCUACCCCAGUGCCUUUGCAGGGCCCUUUCCUUGGGAUGCCCACCCCCACCCCUUAACGUCUCUCCUCUGGGAAGCCUCGUGGCACUGUCCCCCACCCCCAGCCCUCACUCGUGGCCACCCAGCCCCUCCCUGCUCCCAUGGUCCCGAGGAGGUCGAGGCCCCCACCCCAUCCUGCGUGAUGCCUGGCUGGCUGGCACUGUGGCCUCUGCGGCUGCGCUCUCGCCACAGGGCUGCUGCUCUCUGGCUGCUUCUCCUUCCCAUCCUGGCUCUGGUCCUGGCCCACAGUAGGCACCCAGCUUCGGGGCCUCUGCUGCUGCUGCCCUCAGACUGACAUCAAUCCCUCCCAGAAGGUGCAGGCCACCUGGGGAGUGUCCAGGAGGCUCACGGAGGGCCUGACUGUGUCUCCCUGGCACGCCUGAGGUCACAGCAGGCCUCACGGCCACAGGGUCCGGGGGCAGCAGCGCACCAAUGCCCGUGGCGGGAACAGAGUAACCCAGAGAGCCCUCCUGGGCCGGCGCAGCUGUGCUGACUCCCCUGGGCAGGUGGCCCCAGGACCUCUUCAUCCUACUGAUUCCUGAGCAGAGCACAAGGGGGUCUAGGCAAGAGCUGCCUGUUUCCAGCCACCAGACACACCUCAGGUUUUACUGAAAACGCGUGUAACAAACCCAGCCCAAUACCAGGAUCGCAUUUUACAGAGAAGAAACAAGUUCAGAGAGGGUGACCUUGCCAAGGUCACAGGCUCGUAGGGCACUAAGCCAGGAGCCAGCAUGGCCCCUCAGAGUGCCCCUGCCCCACAAGGAAGUGAGACCCCCUCUAGGCUGGAGCCAGAGCUGCAUCUAGAAGCUGGGACCCGUCUGUAACGGAGGAGAGGCAGACACCUGGAUCCCAGAGCCCUGCACACCUGGGCAAAUGUCCAGGACCCGUCCCCACCUCCUCAACCACUCCCUGGCCACAGUCGCUCUGCCAGAUGCCCUCUCAGUAAGGCGGCUGGGAAACAGGCCUCGCUCAACAGCCAGCAACCGUGCACAAGUCUCAGAACACCUUCCUGGGCUUCGGUGUGCCUGUCUGUGAUACGGGGGACACCCAGGCCCCGGGGCUCUCAGGGGCACACACAAGACUGCAGACAAGGAGGAGACAAGGAAGAGCGAGAGCCAGAGCCAGGAGGUUAAGUGUUAGAGUCUCAAGAAACUCUGCACAUGGGGAUUGCUGUCUGUCCUGGUCCUUGCUGUAGCCCCAGUGCCUAGAGCAGUGCCAAGCACACAUGAGGUGCUCCACAAACAUGUGCCACCAAAAAAGAUCCUGAGAUGCAGGAGUCAGGAGGCCGGAGUCUUCCCUGCUCUGCAGUCAGGAGUUAUGUCACCGUCACUGCCGUGCAACGGAGCCUCUCGAGUGAGGGAGGGACCCUGGCAAUUUUCUGGCUCACAGCUCAUUCCAGAGCUGCCUGGUGACACAGACGGGCCCGCAGGCCUGGGAAGGCCCUGUUCCAGCAGAUGCAGCCCGGGACUCCCGCUCUGGAGCCCAGCAGGGCUUCUCCGCCCCCAAGACUGGAGGGGCUUCCCGGCUGAGCCCCAGGAUGUCAUCUGGGGGCUGGGUUCCCACCCCCUCCCCAGCCGCAGCCCCUCAUAUGUGCGUGGCACUCCCCCGUUACAGUUUACAAAGUGCGUUCACAGACAUUAUCACAUCGGCUCCUAAACGCCCCCUAAAAACCACA
ensembl:lncRNA